rnacentral:rRNA from 1 species
AACGAACGCUGGCGGCAUGCCUAACACAUGCAAGUCGAACGAGACCUUCGGGUCUAGUGGCGCACGGGUGCGUAACGCGUGGGAACCUGCCCUUAGGUUCGGAAUAACUCCCCGAAAGGGGUGCUAAUACCGGAUAAUGUCUUCGGACCAAAGAUUUAUCGCCUUUGGAUGGGCCCGCGUUGGAUUAGCUAGUUGGUAGGGUAAAAGCCUACCAAGGCGACGAUCCAUAGCUGGUCUGAGAGGAUGAUCAGCCACACUGGGACUGAGACACGGCCCAGACUCCUACGGGAAGCAGCAGUGGGGAAUAUUGGACAAUGGGCGAAAGCCUGUUCCAGCAAUGCCGCGUGAGUGAUGAAGGCCUUAGGGUUGUAAAGCUCUUUUACCCGGGAUGAUAAUGACAGUACCGGGAGAAUAAGCUCCGGCUAACUCCGUG